rnacentral:rRNA from 1 species
UACAGAGGGUGCGAGCGUUGUCCGGAAUCACUGGGCGUAAAGGGCGCGUAGGCGGCUUGGUAAGUAGGGGGUGAAAUUCCGUGGCUCAACCACGGGGCUGCCUCCUAAACUGCUGAGCUUGAGCGCGGUAGAGGCUGGUGGAAUUCCCGGUGUAGCGGUGGAAUGCGUAGAGAUCGGGAGGAACAUCGGUGGCGAAGGCGGCCAGCUGGGCCGUUGCUGACGCUGAGGAGCGAAAGCGUGGGGAGCAAACAGG